rnacentral:rRNA from 1 species
UACGAAGGGGGCUAGCGUUGCUCGGAAUCACUGGGCGUAAAGCGCACGUAGGCGGACUCUUAAGUCGGGGGUGAAAUCCCGGAGCUCAACUCCGGAACUGCCUUCGAUACUGAGAGUCUUUGAGUCCGGGAGAGGUGAGUGGAACUGCGAGUGUAGAGGUGAAAUUCGUAGAUAUUCGCAAGAACACCAGUGGCGAAGGCGGCUCACUGGCCCGGUACUGACGCUGAGGU